AUACGUAGGGUGCGAGCGUUGUCCGGAAUUACUGGGCGUAAAGAGCUCGUAGGUGGUUUGUCGCGUCGUCUGUGAAAUUCCGGGGCUUAACUCCGGGCGUGCAGGCGAUACGGGCAUAACUUGAGUACUGUAGGGGAGACUGGAAUUCCUGGUGUAGCGGUGAAAUGCGCAGAUAUCAGGAGGAACACCGGGGGCGAAGGCGGCUCUCUGGGCAGUAACUGACGCUGAGGAGCGAAAGCAUGGGUAGCGAACAGGAUUAGAUCCCCUGGUAGUCCAUGCCGUAAACGGUGGGCGCUAGGUGUAGGGGUCUUCCACGACUUCUGUGCCGUAGCUAACGCAUUAAGCGCCCCGCCUGGGGAGUACGGCCGCAAGGCUAAAACUCAAAUGAAUUGACGGGG
rnacentral:rRNA from 1 species